GAGGAGGAGGUACCAGCAUUGGUAUUAAAAGUCAUGAUUAAUGAACCAGCUUGAAAGAAAAACAGUUUCGACAAGCAAAAUGUAACGGAACCAGAUACUCACAUACGGAACCAGAUAGUCACAUACAAAGCAUACAAUACUCAAAAUAAGGACAGAGUUACCCUCCUUCUUCGCGACCGGAGAAGAUCGACCUUCAAUCAACAGAGAAAACCCUAGGUCAAACACCGAAAACCCUAGGUUCUGAAACUCACCGGAAUAAGGUCAUAGACGCCGGAAAGUUACCCAAAACAUCCAUCAAGCAAAGAGAAAGUCAUCGGCUAACACCAAAACUCUAGGUCCGAAAGUCGGAAAACCCUAGAACUUGAAGAACUCGUCGGAACAAAAUCAGAGAUGUCGGAAAAUCACCCAAAACAUCUACUGAUACAAGAUUGGAGCCUCAAACAGUCAGAAAAGUCCCGAUUAACCGAUUAACAUUCAUCGGAAAAAAAUAUACGAACAGUAUUUUUCUCAGAUAACCGAAGAAAAACUUCAGCAAAAGCUUCAUCAAGUAUCGAUAACACAUAACAGAGAAGGAUCGGAAGAUUUUCCUACUCUGAUACCAUGAAAACAUGAAGAUUGAAGAUGAAAAUCAUAGAAGAUGAAGAUGAACAGGAAGCGAUACAAAGAGAGAAUGAGAAGCUUCUGGAGUAAGCCAGAAG
rnacentral:lncRNA from 1 species